UGAGCUUGAUYCUGGCUCAGGACGAACGCUGGCGGUAUGCCUAAUACAUGCAAGUCGAACGCUGAAGCACUCUGCUUGCAGAGUGCGGAUGAGUGGCGAACGGGUGAGUAACACGUGGGUAACCUGCCCAUAAGAGGGGGAUAACAUCCGGAAACGGGUGCUAAUACCGCAUAGGUGAACGGAGCGCAUGCUCUGUUCAUUAAAGGUGGCCUUGCGCUACCGCUUAUGGAUGGACCCGCGGCGUAUUAGCUAGUUGGUGAGGUAAUGGCUCACCAAGGCGAUGAUACGUAGCCGACCUGAGAGGGUGAUCGGCCACACUGGGACUGAGACACGGCCCAGACUCCUACGGGAGGCAGCAGUAGGGAAUCUUCCACAAUGGGCGAAAGCCUGAUGGAGCAAUACCGCGUGAGUGAAGAAGGUCUUCGGAUCGUAAAGCUCUGUUGUUAGAGAAGAACACGCAGAGAC
rnacentral:rRNA from 1 species